UGCAUCAGCAGGAAUCGAACCCAGGGCGCCCGCGUGGCAGGCGAGCAUUCUACCACUGAACCACCGAUGC
rnacentral:tRNA from 1 species